AGAGUUUGAUCCUGGCUCAGAUUGAACGCAGGCGGCAGGCCUAACACAUGCAAGUCGAGCGGUAACAGAUCCAGCUUGCUGGAUGCUGACGAGCGGCGGACGGGUGAGUAAUGCAUAGGAAUCUGCCCGAUAGUGGGGGAUAACCUGGGGAAACCCAGGCUAAUACCGCAUACGUCCUACGGGAGAAAGGGGGCUCCGGCUCCCGCUAUGGGAUGAGCCUAUGUCGGAUUAGCUAGUUGGUGAGGUAACGGCUCACCAAGGCCGCGAUCCGUAGCUGGUCUGAGAGGAUGAUCAGCCACAUCGGGACUGAGACACGGCCCGAACUCCUACGGGAGGCAGCAGUGGGGAAUAUUGGACAAUGGGGGCAACCCUGAUCCAGCCAUGCCGCGUGUGUGAAGAAGGCCCUCGGGUUGUAAAGCACUUUCAGCGAGGAAGAACGCCUAGCGGUUAAUACCCGCUAGGAAAGACAUCACUCGCAGAAGAAGCACCGGCUAACUCCGUGCCAGCAGCCGCGGUAAUACGGAGGGUGCGAGCGUUAAUCGGAAUUACUGGGCGUAAAGCGCGCGUAGGUGGCUUGAUAAGCCGGUUGUGAAAGCCCCGGGCUCAACCUGGGAACGGCAUCCGGAACUGUCAAGCUAGAGUGCAGGAGAGGAAGGUAGAAUUCCCGGUGUAGCGGUGAAAUGCGUAGAGAUCGGGAGGAAUACCAGUGGCGAAGGCGGCCUUCUGGACUGACACUGACACUGAGGUGCGAAAGCGUGGGUAGCAAACAGGAUUAGAUACCCUGGUAGUCCACGCCGUAAACGAUGUCGACCAGCCGUUGGGUGCCUAGCGCACUUUGUGGCGAAGUUAACGC
rnacentral:rRNA from 1 species